CAUAUCGGUUUAUUCUUAGAUAUAAAGAAACCAAAUAUAUAUUCUGUCUUAUUAUACGGAACCAAUUAUAUUUAAUCCCUGUUAAAAUGAUUAUGCAUUUAUCAUGUUGGGACUUCUUUGUCAAGCAGGUCUCCGCCAGCAUUGGGAAUUUGGGAUGGCAGUGCCACACAUUGAUAUCAAAGUCUGUCAUUGCCUAUACCAUGUUUCUUAAAGCCUUUGGUGGUCUCCUUUUCAUCAUCAGCAGCUCGUUUGGAGCGGUCGUACUGGGCAAUUGAUAAAAUCUACUCUGGAUAGUUGACAGAGGGAGUACAUGCUAAGUUGACUUUUUUCCUGUGGAUUUGCUUAUCGUGAAGAUGCUUGCAAGGAUGCAGAGGGAGCGGAUCAUUUGGAGAGAUAGGAUGCCACUUUUGGUGUUUUUAUGCAUUUUUGUUUGCUUGUAACUAUGUUUGCACUAGCAGGGAGUAAGUGACUUCAAGAAGUGUAGGUGUUUUAAUUGAAGGCAUGAAAAGCCAUGACAAUAUGUAUGCUCUUACAGGAUGUGCUCUAAUGCCGCUGGUUUAUUAUAAAUCUUGGAUUAGUAAUGA